rnacentral:rRNA from 1 species
CCUACGGGUGGCUGCAGUGAGGAAUAUUGGUCAAUGGGCGGAAGCCUGAACCAGCCAAGUAGCGUGCAGGAUGAAGGCCCUACGGGAGGUAAACUGCUGUUAUACGGGAAUAACGCGCCUUGCGUGUAGGGCUUUGCAUGUACCGUAUGAAUAAGGGACGGAUAAUUCCGUGCCAGAAGCCGCGGUAAUACGGAAGGGCGGGGCGUUGUCCGGAUUUAUUGGGUUGAAAGGGAGCGUAGGCCGCAUGUCAAGCGUGCUGUGAAAUGUCCGGGCUCAACCCGGGCCUUGCAGCGCGUAGUGGCGUGCUUGAGUCCGCGGAAAGCAGGCGGAAUUCGUCGUGUAGCGGUGAAAUGCUUAGAUAUGACGAAGAACCCCGAUUGCGAAGGCAGCUUGCUGCAGCGGAACUGACGCUGAUGCUCGAAAGCGCGGGUAUCGAACAGGAUUAGAUACCCUUGUAGUC